rnacentral:sRNA from 1 species
GCCAGGUGUGGUGGCACACACCUGUAAUCCCAGGGCUCAGGAGGCUGAGGCAGGAGGAUCACAAGUUUAAAGCCAGCCUCAGCAACUUAACAAGACUGUAAGCAACUUAGUGAGAUCCUGUCACUA